GAGUUUGAUCGUGGCUCAGGAUGAACGCUGGCGGCGUGCUUAACACAUGCAAGUCGAACGAAGCUUGAUCCCAGAUCCUUUCGGGGUGACGGGUGAUAUGACUGAGUGGCGGACGGGUGAGUAACGCGUGGGCAACCUGCCUCAUACAGGGGGAUAACAGUUAGAAAUGACUGCUAAGACCGCAUAAGACCACAGCACCGCAUGGUGGAGUGGUAAAAGCUCCGGUGGUAUGAGAUGGGCCCGCGUCUGAUUAGCUAGUUGGUGAGGUAACGGCUCUACCAAGGCAACGAUCAGUAGCCGGCUUGAGAGAGUGAACGGCCACAUUGGGACUGAGACACGGCCCAAACUCCUACGGGAGGCAGCAGUGGGGAAUAUUGCACAAUGGGGGAAACCCUGAUGCAGCGACGCCGCGU
rnacentral:rRNA from 1 species